AGAGUCGCCCGGAUCACCGCGUUGCGUAAGCACCGAGGAAAGUCCGGACUCCAGAGAGCAAGGUGGUGGGUAACGCCCACCCGGAGCAAUCCGCGGGAUCAGUGCCACAGAAAACAGACCGCUCAUGCAAAUGAGUAAGGGUGAAACGGUGGUGUAAGAGACCACCAGCAUUUACGGCAACGUAUAUGGCUAGGUAAACCCCACUUGGAGCAAGACCAGACAGAUAGCGUUUGAGAACUGCUCGUUCGAGCUAUCGGGUAGGUCGCUUGAUUACGUAAGCAAUUACGUAACUAGAUGGAUGGUGAUCCGUUCGCAAGAACGACAGGAUCCGGCUUAUAGGGCGACUCUUCUU
rnacentral:RNase_P_RNA from 1 species